rnacentral:lncRNA from 1 species
UUGUCGGAGUUCUAGAAGGAGAUCUAAGUCAGCUCUCCGAUAUUUAGAGUUGCUCAAUUCAUUAUAUUAUUUCACUCUUGUUGAUGGCAAUCCGAUCUCGAGCGGUAUCAUUGCUUCUGUCCCAUAAGCAAAAUUGAAAGGGGAUUUUUCGAUUGGUAUGUGGGGAGUCAUUCAAUACGCCCAUAAGAUCAGAUAUAGUUCUUCCAUCCAGAAGUCUUUGGCUUCAUUCAGUCAGAUUUUUAGCCCAUGUA